ensembl:lncRNA
UUCAUAGUAUAGGGCCCUGAUCAAAUCAAUGAGUCAGUUCAAUGAAAUGGAGACUCAUCUACCUAUCCUUUAACAUCAUUUCUCAACAAAGUCAUGUGACUGAUCCCAGCAGGCUUUGAACAGCACCAAUAUAAACACCCAGGUAAAGACCCCUCCCCUUUUUUGUUAGCUUGCGUCUUUUCUGCAACCUAUGAAGAAGCUGUUUGUUUUUACUUCCUAAAGGAAUUGUUGCAUUAUUUGUGUAUUCAUUUCUUUCAAGUGCUUAGUUUUUUUGUAUCUGCUGUUGGCCGAGCCCGUAAGCAGAAGAUGACCUGCUGGACCGUGCUUCUCUUCUUUCUGGCUUUUUUAAUCUGUGAUUACAGCUUGGUAAGAUGUCAAUUAAACAGCACUGAAGCAGCUGAACAACCUGAAAAGCCAGCUGAGAGUUCACAGACAGACAGUUGGGAUGCAAAGAGCCCUUAUGGUGUGAUAAUAGUUGGAACCAUCUUACUGGCCAUCUGUGCUUUGUUUUAUGCACCUUUAUUUAAGAGGGAAUGGAGAAAUAAGCUGUUACAGAACUGCGCAGAGCCAGAACCUGUGCCUAAUGAUAGAGGACGUGAUUUUUAUCAGCUGGACGCGUAUGAGCUUCAAGGCUUGGUGCAACAGCCACUAAUCUUACAAUUCCCCGUCUUUCACUUUAAAGUGUCAAUGGAGACCUUUUUUUUUUGUAUUUGUUUUUUGUUAGGUUAUGCCUCACAAUAA